rnacentral:rRNA from 1 species
GAUGAACGCUGGCGGCGUGCCUAAUACAUGCAAGUCGAGCGAACGGACGAGAAGCUUGCUUCUCUGAUGUUAGCGGCGGACGGGUGAGUAACACGUGGAUAACCUACCUAUAAGACUGGGAUAACUUCGGGAAACCGUAGCUAAUACCGGAUAAUAUUGUGAACCGCAUGGUUCAAAAGGGAAAGGCGGUCUUGCUGUCACUUGUACAUGGAUCCAUGCUGCAUUAGCUAGUUGGUAAGGUAACGGCUUACCAAGGCAACGAUGCAUAGCCGACCUGCGAGGGUGAGCGGCCGCCCUGGAACUUAGACACGGUCCAAGGUCCUAGGGGGGGCCGGAGUGGGGAAUCUUGCGCAAUGGGCGAAAGCCUGACGGAGCAACGCCGCGUGAGUGAUGAAGGUCUUCGGAUCGUAAAACUCUGUUAUUAGGGAAGAACAUAUGUGGAAGUAACUGUGCACAUCUUGACGGUACCUAAUCAGAAAGCCACGGCUAACUACGUG